GUGAGGAAUAUUGGUCAAUGGGCGGGAGCCUGAACCAGCCAAGUCGCGUGAAGGAAGAAGGAUCUAUGGUUCGUAAACUUCUUUUGCAGGGGAAUAAAGUGCAGGACGUGUCCUGUUUUGUAUGUACCCUGAGAAUAAGGAUCGACUAACUCCGUGCCAGCAGCCGCGGUAAUACGGAGGAUCCGAGCGUUAUCCGGAUUUAUUGGGUUUAAAGGGUGCGUAGGUGGUUUGAUAAGUCAGCGGUGAAAGUUUGCAGCUUAACUGUAAAAAUGCCGUUGAAACUGUCGGACUUGAGUGUAAAUGAGGUAGGCGGAAUGCGUGGUGUAGCGGUGAAAUGCAUAGAUAUCACGCAGAACUCCGAUUGCGAAGGCAGCUUACUAAGCUACAACUGACACUGAAGCACGAAAGCGUGGGGAUCAAACAGGAUUAGAAACCCCUGUAGUCC
rnacentral:rRNA from 1 species